UACGAAGGGGGCUAGCGUUGUCCGGAAUUACUGGGCGUAAAGCGCACGUAGGCGGCUUUGUAAGUUAGAGGUGAAAGCCCGGGGCUCAACUCCGGAAUUGCCUUUAAGACUGCAUCGCUAGAAUUGUGGAGAGGUAAGUGGAAUUCCGAGUGUAGAGGUGAAAUUCGUAGAUAUUCGGAAGAACACCAGUGGCGAAGGCGACUUACUGGACACAUAUUGACGCUGAGGUGCGAAAGCGUGGGGAGCAAACAGG
rnacentral:rRNA from 1 species